rnacentral:rRNA from 1 species
GCCUACGGGGGGCAGCAGUGGGGAAUAUUGCGCAAUGGGCGAAAGCCUGACGCAGCGACGCCGCGUGAGGGAUGAAGGUCUUCUGAUCGUAAACCUCUGUCCGCAGGGAAGAACGGUCACUGUGCUAAUCAGCAGUGAAUUGACGGUACCUGCAAAGGAAGCACCGGCUAACUCCGUGCCAGCAGCCGCGGUAAUACGGAGGGUGCGAGCGUUAAUCGGAAUUACUGGGCGUAAAGCGCUCGUAGGCGGUAUGUCAAGUCAAGGGUGAAAUCCCCGCGCUCAACGUGGGAACUGCCUUUGAAACU